rnacentral:rRNA from 1 species
UACGGAGGGUGCAAACGUUGCUCGGAAUCACUGGGCGUAAAGCGCACGUAGGCGGUCCGAUAAGUCGGAUGUGAAAGCCCUGGGCUCAACCUAGGAAGUGCAUUCGAAACUGUCGGACUUGAGUACGGGAGAGGGUUGCGGAAUUCCCGGUGCAGCGGUGAAAUGCGCAGAUAUCGGGAGGAACACCGGUGGCGAAGGCGGAUCUCUGGGCCUGUCCUGACGCUCAGGCGCGAAAGCUAGGGGAGCGAACAGG